AACGAACGCUGGCGGCAGGCUUAACACAUGCAAGUCGAACGCCCCGCAAGGGGAGUGGCAGACGGGUGAGUAACACGUGGGAACAUGCCCAAAGGUACGGAACAACUCCGGGAAACUGGAGCUAAUACCGUAUGUGCCCGAAAGGGGAAAGAUUUAUCGCCGUUGGGUUGGCCCGCGUCGGAUUAGCUAGUUGGUGGGGUAAAAGCCUACCAAGGCGACGAUCCGUAGCUGGUUUGAGAGAACGACCAGCCACACUGGGACUGAGACACGGCCCAGACUCCUACGGGAGGCAGCAGUGGGGAAUCUUGGACAAUGGGCGCAAGCCUGAUCCAGCCAUGCCGCGUGGAUGAUGAAGGCCUUAGGGUUGUAAAAUCCUUUCGUUGGGGACGAUAAUGACGGUACCCAAAGAAGAAGCCCCGGCUAACUUCGUGCCAGCAGCCGCGGUAA
rnacentral:rRNA from 1 species